rnacentral:rRNA from 1 species
AGAUGAUUGGGGUGAAGUCGUAACAAGGUAUCCCUACCGGAAGGUGGGGAUGGAUCACCUCCUUUCU